UCUUUUGAGGAGAGGCUGAGAGAGCUGUGACUGCUGAGCCUGGAGGAGACUCAAAGGGAUCUAUGUGUAUAAAUACCUAAAGGGAAGGUACAGAGAGGAAAGAGCCAUGCUCUUUUCAAUGGUGCCCAGUGUCAGGACAAGAGGCAAUGGCCACAAACUAGAGCACAGCUCCCUCCGAACACCAGGACACUAGCACAGAUUGCUUAAAGCCUGAGGGAUCUCUUCCUUUCUUCCGAAGCCACCUGCACAUGGUCCUGCGUCCCUGCUCUGGGUGGCACUACUGAAGCAGAGGGUGGGCCAUGGAGACCCAGAGGGGCUUGCCAGCCUCAGCCACUCUGUGUUUCUGUACAGCUGGAAGUGGAGGUUGGAUGGCUGUUAAACAUAGGAUAGAAAUAGCAUCAAACUCUCUACUAAUGGAUCAGAUAUGCUCUACGUCAGUGAGGCCACACCUGGAGAACUGUGUCCAGUUCUGGGCUUCUCAGUUCAAGAAAGACAGGGAACUUCUAGACGAGUCCUGUGAAAUGCUACAAAGAUUUCUGGGGGCCUGGAGCAUCUCCUUAUGAAGAAAGGCUGAGAAACCUGGGGCUGUUCAGCCUGGAGAAGAAAAGAAUGAGGGGGCAUCUUAUCAAUGCAUAUAAAGAUCUGAAAGGAGCUGGAUGUAUGAAGCUGGAAGUGGGAUAUUUUGUGGUGACUAUUGUAAAUAGGAUAAUUUUUAACUCCUAUGAAUGUUAAAUUGGAGAGUUCUGCACUUGUAUGCUGUUUUCACCUGUAUGUUUCACCCGUGUGAGUUAAGACCUCCAAGACUCACUCAGAGUGUGAAGGCUCUGGCCCUGCAGCUGCUCAGCCUUUACCGCCUGAGCACCUUCUGGAUGGACUUCAGAACCCAGGACAUCAGCAGGACUGGGGACAGCUUGGCUACUCACAGAUGAGGAUACUAGGUUAAACGCUUUCAGGACAAAUUAUGUCAUCCAAGUGAGAGUGGCACAGAAGAGCCUUAAUAUGACUGCAUACAUGGGGUAGGACACAGAGUGGUACUGUAUUGUUGUUUGUCAUCAUAGAAAGUUCCUGAGAAAGGAUCUAGAGAAAGAAGAGGAUUGUUAAGAGACAUCUGAUCUGGACCACCCCCAGUCAGCUAGCAGCUGGUGGCUGGAUCUGUGACAGAGAGAAAACAGCUGCUAUUUGGCUGCAGCAGUUUGCAAAAGGACAAAACAGCUGCAGAGCUACUUAGCAGCCAGAGGUAACUGUCAGGAUUCAGUCCAGCUGUGAGCAGGAGGCAG
ensembl:lncRNA